rnacentral:tRNA from 1 species
ACCCGGUUGGCUCUGUUCAUAGAGCACACGACUCUCAAUCUCAGGGGUUGUGAGUUCAAGCCCCACACUGGGUA